UCAUCUUGGGUUAAUAUGAACCGUUCAUCGCAUUUAAUCUCAACCGUUUGAUCGCGUCUAAAGAAGAAACAAAUUUGUCCCGUUCAUCGCGUUUGAUCUCGACUGUCUAAUCGCGCAUAAGGAGAAAACGGAUUCAGACCAUACAUGCGCACAGGAUCGCUUCUGGGCCGUUCGAUCGUGGGGCAAGCGGAUCACCAGUAUGUCCUCACGCGUGGCACCGAGUCAGUGUGCCUUACCACGCGACGCACUUCGAUUC
rnacentral:lncRNA from 1 species